rnacentral:misc_RNA from 1 species
GAUGAAGAACGCAGCGAAAUGCGAUAAGUAAUGCGAAUUGCAGAAUUUCCGUGAGUCAUCGAAUCUUUGAACGCACAUUGCGCCCUUUGGUAUUCCUUAGGGCAUGCCUGUUCGAGCGUCAUUUAAACCUUCAAGCUCAGCUUGGUGUUGGGUGACUGUCCGCUUCACCGCGGACUCGCCUCAAAAUUAUUGGCGGCCGGUACAUUGGCUUCGAGCGCAGCAGAAACGCGAACUCGGGCCCGUCGUAUUGGCUCCCAGAAGCUAUCUUCACAAUUUUGACCUCGGAUCAGGUAGGGAUACCCGCUGAACUUAAGCAUAUCAAUAAGCGGAGGA